CAGCAGCCGCGGGAAUACGAAGGGGGCUAGCGUUGUUCGGAUUUACUGGGCGUAAAGGGCGCGUAGGCGGACUGAUAAGUCAGGGGUGAAAUCCCAAGGCUCAACCUUGGAACUGCCUUUGAUACUGUUUGUCUUGAGUUCGAGAGAGGUAAGUGGAACUGCGAGUGUAGAGGUGAAAUUCGUAGAUAUUCGCAAGAACACCAGUGGCGAAGGCGGCCUACUGGCUCGAAACUGACGCUGAGGCGCGAAAGCGUGGGGAGCAAACAGGAUUAGAUACCCGGGUAGUCCCUGUCUCUUAUAC
rnacentral:rRNA from 1 species